rnacentral:lncRNA from 1 species
CCCUCAGGUUCGUCAUUUCAUAAGGUGAUUCAAAUUCAACUCAUAACCCGUCUUAAAAUGUCCAUUUUGAUAAUAUACUGAAUCACCAUAAUAAUAGUUUCCCCUAAACCGCUAAAUCAGGGAGACUAAGUUCCUCUAACUACGUGGUUUGCUACGAGGCGGUGUAGUUCUGACAGAAUUCACUAGAACUUCUCAAAAUGUCCAAGAUUGCAACCAUGCUCUGAUACCAACUGACAGACCCCGUCCCGAAGGAGGGCAUGCUGGCCGUCACGUGAGAGUGACGUAACCAUUUGCACAGUACGGAAGCUUUAAUUAUACAAUUUAUAAGUUGAUACACCCGAAGGUGAGUCCUAAUUUUGUCCAUUCUGUCAGAACACCGUCGAAUUCCUCGUAGUCACCACACCUUUGUGAUUCCUGAACCUGGAGGGGCGCAAACCAAAAUUGAGUGGGUCAGUAAAACAAAUCUUUUCAAAUCCAACUUUUCUCAAAACAUUGUAACCCCUCUCCGUAAAACUUGUAUACUUUCCCAUAAAUGUAAAAUAUAAAUAUACAUAUAUAUUCUCAAAACUUCAUUUUUUUACUAUCUCAACAUUAUCUCUUUAUCAAUCAUGCCAUGCCAUGUCUAAUUCAACAGUUAAGUAUGGAUGCAUCAACAAUAAUCAUAUCAGGUGCAAGAAAGUAAUCAACCGGAGGCCCUCUAAUAGCCUGUACGGUUGAACCUAGAGCUCAAAAUCUAUCACUCUCACUCUGCCGGAGUCACCUCUGUGACCUGUCCGGCCUUCUGCACACAAGUUACGCUCUAGUGCUUUCUCAUCAAUCAUCUGUGCACAUAAUCUAAGGUCACCCACCAGUCGAAAUCUCACUAACACUCUACGACUGGCCCGUCGCACCCACUCCGCGUGGACUGUGCGACCAGCAUCUACUUGGAUCCAAGGCGAGCGUGCGAUGCGGUGAAUACUAUAAGCACUAAACCAUGGUGCAGGAUUUGAGCUCAAUAUAUAUCAUCAUCAUCAUAACAGUAUUUAAAUACUCACCUGAUACUCACAUGUGCGUCCGCCGCACCAAUUCAUACAUAUGCAUCAUAUAUCAAUUCAUAUCAUUUCAUGCAUGGCAAUUCGAUUCACGUUUUUCAUAUAAUUCUAUAUACUUUUCGCAUACUUCUAUGCAUGGCAUUUCAACUAAUAUAUCUCAUAUACUUUUAUACAUUUUCAUUUAAAGCAUAAUUUCAUGCAUGGUAAUUUCUGGGAAACGGCAAGUAUAUAUGUAUACGGAAAACAAAACUGCCCACUCACCUGGAGUUCGCCCUACAACUCCCUAGCACAAUACGCCAAGGCGUCAUGACGAUCGCCGCCUAGAACAGUAAUCAAAUCCAACCUCAGAAUUCAUAUCGAUAGAAUGUAUAACUUAUAUAAAAUACGUCACUACGUUGAUCGAUCCGGAAGAUCUGCCACUCAGAUUUUAAAUCCAUAACUUCCAGAGGUCCAUAAUAUAUCUCUAGGAUAACAUCCUAAAAUUUCACUACCAUCCAACGGUCGGAUCAUCAAUUCACAUUUUCACCUAAUGCGAAAACUAUAAAACGUUAUUCGAACACCUAACCAACAAUCCUGUUUCCACCAGGAUACAAAUUCAUACCCAAAACCAGGUAGUCGUCUCAACCCCCUUGUCAGAAGGAAGAUUCCUUUGACUUGCAUAAUCCGAAACUUCUUUUCCAAACGGUUAAACCGUCACUUCGUUCCCUCAGGUUCGUCAUUUCAUAAGGUGAUUCAAAUUCAACUCAUAACCCGUCUUAAAAUGUCCAUUUUGAUAAUAUACUGAAUCACCAUAAUAAUAGUUUCCCCUAAACCGCUAAAUCAGGGAGACUAAGUUCCUCUAACUACGUGGUUUGCUACGAGGCGGUGUAGUUCUGACAGAAUUCACUAGAACUUCUCAAAAUGUCCAAGAUUGCAACCAUGCUCUGAUACCAACUGACAGACCCCGUCCCGAAGGAGGGCAUGCUGGCCGUCACGUGAGAGUGACGUAACCAUUUGC